rnacentral:rRNA from 1 species
GUAGCAAUACAGAUGCUGGCGACCGGCAAACGGGUGCGGAACACGUACGCAACCUCCCCCUAACUGGAAGAUAGCCCAUCGAAAGGUGGAUUAAUACUCCAUAUUAUAUUGAAGUGGCAUCACUUUAAUAUUAAAGCUCCGGCGGUAAGAGAUGGGCGUGCGUCUGAUUAGGUAGUUGGCGGGGUAACGGCCCACCAAGCCUACGAUCAGUAGCUGAUGUGAGAGCAUGAUCAGCCACACGGGCACUGAGACACGGGCCCGACUCCUACGGGAGGCAGCAGUAAGGAAUAUUGGUCAAUGGACGCAAGUCUGAACCAGCCAUGCCGCGUGGAGGAUGACGGUCCUCUGGAUUGUAAACUUCUUUUCUCUGGGACGAAACCCUCGAUUUCCAUCGAGCCUGACGGUACCAGAGGAAUAAGCACCGGCUAACUCCGUGCCAGCAGCCGCGGUAAUACGGAGGGUGCAAGCGUUGUCCGGAUUCACUGGGUUUAAAGGGUGCGUAGGUGGGCAGGUAAGUCAGUGGUGAAAUCUCUGGGCUUAACCCGGAAACUGCCAUUGAUACUAUUUGUCUUGAAUUCUCUGGAGGUAAGCGGAAUAUGUCAUGUAGCGGUGAAGUGCUUAGAUAUGACAUAGAACACCCAUUGCGAAGGCAGCUUACUACGGAGAUAUUGACACUGAGGCACGAAAGCGUGGGGAUCAAACAGGAUUAGAUACCCUGGUAGUCCACGCCCUAAACGAUGAUUACUCGACAUUAGCG